UGUGUAGGCGGAAAGGUAAGCGUCCUGUGAAAGCCCCCGGCUUAACCGGGGAAUUGCACGGCGAACUGCCUUUCUUGAGGCAAGUAGGGGUGCAUGGAACUCUUGGUGAAGCGGUGGAAUGCGUAGAUAUCAAGAGGAACGCCGGUGGUGAAGACGGUGCACUGGGCUUGCCCUGACGCUGAGACACGAAAGCGUGGGGAGCGAACG
rnacentral:rRNA from 1 species